UUAAAAUUUUUAGAAAUUAAACAUCGAAGAUGAAAAGCUGUUUUUUUGAUCCGAUUAGAAAUUUCCCAGCGAGGUAAAGCGCGCACGCUUUUUAUUGAACCUGCACUUUAGGCCCGAAAUUUCUGGUCUUCUGCUCAGUGACCACAGCCUGAACUUGGUGGAACACACUGUCAACAAAUAUAAAAACAUGAACAACAAGCGUAGGAACUUGUGAUCUGUGACUUCCACUUCAUCAGCAACAAGGUUUGGCAACUCGUCUGUGUCAAAACUUCUGGGAGACCGUGUGGAGAGAUGUACAGUCAAACCGGUGAUCCGACUCGUAUCACGAGGCAAACUUCAAGAUGGAUAUUUACUUACAACAACUACGACCCUCUCUUAAAUUACGUAGAACAUUUCUCUUCGCCAGAGUUCAAGGUGAAGAGAGCGGUGUGGGGAUUCGAAAAGUCUGAUUCUGGAACACCACAUUUGCAAGGGUACGUCGAAUUUAUAAGAUCGCACAGACUUUCUUUCACUCGGCGAAUUCUACCUGAAGCUCAUUGGGAAUGCGCAUCAAGCCCUCCAUAUUUCAACUAUUUGCACUGCACAAAAAAUGGAAACUUUGAAACCGUCGGAGAUUGGGAGUCGCUGACGUCUUUGCCCAAGAAGACAAAGAGGACUAAAUUAGCAAGCGCUGGUCCGGUGGUGGCCGGACUGCUUGGCAAAAAUGCGCCCAUCAUUACCCAGCGUGAAAUUUUUUUCAUGGCUUGGAAACACACCAAAACUUCGCCGCUGGCAAUAUCAAUGCUUCAUGAAAUUAUUCGACCAACCACAGCGACAGAUACUAUGGGUUUACGAUGGAGUAGGAAAAGCAGGCAAAACGUGGUUUGCUAAUUAUUUGAAUAUCCUCUACUCUUACGACUUGAUGGAUGGUAUGAAAGGCACAAGAGACGUUUGUGCUCUGUUGUCAGAUGCGCCCACUGGAGUAUGUUUCGACAGCUGUAGAGCCUCGAAAAAACACUUCGACUACGACGUUCUCGAAGCAGUGAAAAAUGGAUACAUGGUAUCCGGAAAGUAUAACGGAUCCAUAAAGAGAUUUCAUCCAUGCCCCGUAGUUGUAUUUUCAAACUCGCUACCCGCUACAAAACAACUUUCGCACUAUCGUUGGGAUAUAGUACAUCUGGGCGAAGGUGACUUCAUUAACCUCGAUAAAUCGCCUAUUUAUUCAACCGCUGACCUUCGUCCAUUUGUUCCUCCACCAAAAAUACCCAUAUUGGCAGAAAAUUUCAACUUGCGACAAUACUUGCUCCGCUCACUGCACAACUCCGAAGUGACAAGUACUUCCACCCUAUGGGGGUGAACGCUACCUUGGCGACUCGGAAGAACAGUGAAGACAGUUCGUCGAGCUGCUGCUAGUCGUACUCCAGUGUUCCGUAGUGAUUACACACAUUCCAAUAGCCAGUUCAUGGUCAAUAGAAGAUUAUUGGUUAAUUUUUGACGUAAUAGAUACGCAAAACUGUUGGUUUCAUAUUACAGUGGCUCGUGUCGUAGAAUCUUACUACAUACGUUGACCCCUUCUCAUGAAUCAUUUGCUGGGAUAGGAAGUAUCCAUUUUCAACAACUGAUGUAACCUUGUUACUGACUUGCUUAUUCUUUAAGAAGACUUAAGCGAAUGCAAUUUAUGCAUUUAGGUUAGUUUGACACUAUUAUUAUUUUAAGUUUACUAAUAGCAACCUAUUCGCUAUUUAAUUACAAUGAAAGAAGAUUGUA